rnacentral:rRNA from 1 species
AUUGAACGCUGGCGGCAGGCCUAACACAUGCAAGUCGAGCGAGCGGCGGACGGGUGAGUAAUGUAUGGGGAGCGGCCCGAUAGAGGGGGAUAACUACUGGAAACGGUGGCUAAUACCGCAUACUAUCGGAUGAACCCAGAUGGGAUUAGCUAGUGGGGGGGGUAAAGGCGCACCUAGGCGACGAUCCCUAGCUGGGCUGAGAGGAUGAGCGGCCACACUGGAACUGAGACACGGCCCAGACUCCUACGGGAGGCAGCAGUGGGGACUAUUGCACAAUGGGCGCAAGCCUGAGGCAGCCAUGCCGCGUGUAUGAAGAAGGCCUUAGGGUUGUAAAGUACUUUCAGCGGGGAGGCGUUACCCGCAGAAGAAGCACCGGCUAACUCCGUGCCAGCAGCCGCGGUAAUUC